rnacentral:sRNA from 1 species
GUAGAACCUGUCCAUCUGGACUGAUUGGUUUUCCUUCGUCGUCUUUUGCAACAAUUUUUCCGUUCUCGGUGAUGAAAGAUCCCGAAGAAUCAGUAGCAAGCAAUGACCCAUCUGCGUUUAUCACUGGAUAAACAACGUUUCCAGUGUCAUCAGUUGGGAGAGCUUGUCCAUCUGGUCCAACAACUGGGUAGACAUAGUUGCCGGAUCCAUCGGUCGGUAGUACUUGCCCAUCUGGUCCAAUUGGCUUUCCUGUGUUGUCUUUUUCAAUCAGUUGACCUCCUUGAGUGAUGUAAGAGCCAGUAGAAUCGGUAGCAAGAAGAGUUCCAUCAGGUUUAGUAAUAGGAUAGAUGGCAUAACCAUUUUCAUCUGUUGGGUUUGCUGUCGUAACACCAGAAUCCGGAAGAAUGUAAUUACCAGAUGCAUCAGUCGGAAGUGGUGAACCAUCUUUUGAAAGUGGAACACCAUUUGCUGAAUCAGUGGGAACAAGUUCGCCGUCAGGGCCAAUUGCAAAUCCGGUAGAAUCAGUUGGAAGUUGCGUUCCAUCUUCAGUGAAAACUGGAUAAAUUGGUUUUCCAGAUUCAUCAGUUGGCAAGGCUUGUCCAUCCGGUCCAAUAACUGGGUAGAUGUAGUUUCCGGAAGCAUCAGUUGGGAGAACCUGUCCAUCGGGUCCAAUCGGUUUUCCUUCGUCAUCUUUUUCUACAAUCAAUCCAUUAGAAGCAAUGAACGAUCCGGUAGAAUCGGUAGCUAGAGGAGUUCCAUCUGGAUUUGUAACUGAAUACACGACAUUUCCAUUUUCAUCCGUCGGAAGAAUCUUUCCUAAAGCCUCGUCAGAAGGAACAAGAAUGUAGUUUCCGUUAUUGUCCGUUGGAAGUGGGAAACCACUCUGGUCAAGAGGUUUACCACUGGCAUCAGUCGGAAUUGGUUCUCCAUCAGGUCCGAUGACAGCUCCAAAAGCAUCAGUUGCAAGUGGAGUUCCAUCUGGUCCACGUACUGGAUAGACAGUCUUUCCGCUAGCGUCCGUACCAAGUGGUUCUCCAUCAGGACCAAUGACUGGGUAGAUAUAGUUUCCGGAAUUAUCAGUUGUAAGUACCUGAAAUUGAACUUCUUAAAAUAUUUUAUAUUUGAUUAUCAAGUCAGCUGAAUUAAAUUUCACAUGAAUUUCUAUUAUAUUUUGCAUGAUUCUACCACAUACCUGUCCAUCUGGACCAAUUGGUUUUCCUUCUUCAUUCCUCUCAACAAUCGUCCCAUCUCCGGUCACGAAGACACCAGUGGAAUCAGUUGCAAGUGGGCUUCCAUCUGGUCUUGUGAUAGGAUAAACCACCUUUCCAAGAUUGUCCGUUGGAAGAAUCUUUUCAUCUGAUCCAACUGCAGGAUAGAUGUAGUUUCCUGACCCAUCGGUUGGAAGAACUCGUUUAUCUGGACCCAGUGGAUAUCCGUUGUCAUCUUUUUCAAUUAAUUCACCUUCAUCAGUGACAUAGUUUCCAGUCGAAUCGGUCGCAAAGAGAACUCCAUCUGGUUUUGUGAUUGGAUAAAUGAAAUUACCGCUCUCGUCAGUUGGAAGGGUCUUGGUGGUAGAUUUGUCUGAGGGAACGAGUAUAAAGUUUCCAUUGUUAUCAGUUGGGAGUGCCGAUCCAUCUUGUGACAGCGGCUUACCACUAGCAUCAGUAGGAAUUGGUUCCCCAUCAGGUCCGAUAGCAGCACCAGAAGCAUCCGUUGGAAGUGGAGUUCCAUCUGGUCCGUGUACUGGGUAGACAGUCUUUCCAGAUUCAUCAGUUGGCAGGGCUUGUCCAUCUGGUCCAAUGACUGGAUAGAUGUAAUUACCAGAAGCAUCAGUAGGGAGAACUUGUCCGUCUGGUCCAAUGGGUUUACCUUCAUCGUCAUUCUCAAUUAUUGUUCCAUCAUCAGUAACAAACGAUCCUGAUGAAUCCGUUCCGAGAGGUGUUCCGUCUGGUCGCGUAAUUGGGUAAGCAACAUUUCCAGAUUCAUCAGUUGGAAAUGCUUUAAUAGUGGAAUCGUCUACAGGAACAAGAACAUAGUGUCCGUCGUUGUCAGUUGGGAGUGGUGAUCCAUCUUUAGAUAGUGGCUUGCCGCUGGCAUCAGUUGGAAUUGGUUCUCCAUCUGGACCAAUUGAAGCUCCUGAAGCAUCAGUUGGUAGUGGAGUUCCAUCUGGUCCUCGAAUUGGGUAGACAGUCUUUCCAGAUUCAUCAGUUGGCAGGGCUUGUCCAUCUGGGCCAAUAACUGGAUAGAUGUAGUUUCCGGAGUCAUCAGUUGGAAGAACUUGACCGUCUGGUCCAACUGGUUUUCCUUCAUCAUCAUUUUCAAUAAUUGGUCCAUCUUCAGUGACGAAAGCACCAGUUGAAUCUGUUCCGAGAAGUGUCCCAUCCGGAUUUGUUAUAGAAACAAUGACUUCAUCGGUUGGUUUAGAAUCAUUUACUGUUGCACCUGGCAGCACAAGAACAAAAUGCCCACUAUCAUUCGUUGGUAAUGGUGUUCCGUCUUUAUUAAGUGGGACGCCGUUUGUCGACUCGGUAGGGACGAGUUCUCCAUCAUGCCCAAUUGCAUAUCCAGACGAAUCCGUUGGUAGUUGAAUGCCAUCUUCGUUGAAAACUGAAUAAAUUGGUUUUCCAGCUGCAUCAGUUGUUAAAAUUUGUCUAUCUGCACCAGUGAUUGGAUAAACGUAAUGCCCAGCAGAGUCUGUUGGAAGUACUUGCCCGUCAGGGCCAACUGGUUUUCCUUCUUCGUCUUUUCCUACCAGUUGCCCAUCUUCGGUAAUAUACGAUCCCGAAGAAUCGGUUCCAAGCGGUGUUCCGUCAGGUUUAGUAAUUGGAUAAACAACACUUCCAGAUUCAUCAGUUGGAAGCACUUUAGCUGCAGAUUCGUCAGAUGGAACGAGAACAUAGUUUCCAUUAAUGUCAGUCGGAAGUGGAGAUCCAUCUGCUGACAAUGGUUUUCCACUAGGGUCAGUAGGAAUUGGUUCUCCAUCAGGCCCGAUAACAGCUCCAGAAGCAUCAGUUGGAAGCGGAGUUCCAUCUGGUCCGCGUACUGGGAAAACAGUCUUUCCAGAUUCAUCAGUUGGCAAGGCUUGUCCAUCCGGUCCAAUAACUGGGUAGAUGUAGUUUCCGGAAGCAUCAGUUGGGAGAACCUGUCCAUCAGGUCCAAUCGGUUUACCUUCGUCAUCUUUCUCAAUGAUUUGUCCAUCAUCAGCCACAAAUGAUCCUGUAGAGUCGGUGGCAAGUAAUGUUCCAUCGGGUUUAGUGAUUGGAUAAAUAAUGUUUCCGGCCUCGUCUGUUGGAAGUGAAUCCGUAACUCCUUCGCCUGAUGGCACAAGAAUGUAAUUUCCAGAAGCGUCAGUUGGCAAUGGCGAACCAUCCUUCGAAAUUGGUCUUCCACUAGAAUCAGUUGGAAUAGGUUCUCCAUCUGGUCCAAUAGCUGCACCAGAAGCAUCAGUUGGAAGUGGAGAUCCAUCAGGAGAUACAAUGGUAGAUUGAGUUGUGUCAGCUUCCUUCGGUUUCACAAAUUCACCAUCUUCAUUCUUUGGAAGAACUUGUCCAUUUUCAUCAAUUGGUUUACCUUCAGAGUUAGUUGGAAUAACAUUUCCAUCCUUAUCAGUAUAAACUCCAUCAUCUUCAUUAAUUGGUUCUCCAUCAAUAAUAAUAAAUGGAAUUGCUGGGGUUGCUUCUUCUUCUUCUUCAAUUUGUGGAGCAAUGACAACAUGUCCAUUAUCAUCAAAUUUAUACGGAUUUCCUUCUGAAUCAAGUGGUCUUCCUAGUUCAUCAGUAUCAAUUUCAUUUCCUGAUAAAUCGAUCCAAUUUCCAUCAUCAUUCUUUGAUAAUUCGUUUCCAUCGUUAUCAACUACUGUUAUCACUGGUUUAUCAUUAUCAUCAGUUUCAACUGGUUUUCCAAAUUUAUCAACCAAUGGAUAUACCCAUUCUCCUUUUUUAUUCUUGCUCAAUUUCUGAUCUUCUGGUCCAGUUGGUUCUUCUCCUUCAAUUACAAUUGGUUUUCCAUUGUUAUCAAUGUAGUUUCCAGAUGCAUCAGUAGGAAGUGGUUUACCACUUUGAUCGACAAUAACUGGCUUCUCAGCAUCAGUAGGAAGAACUUGGCCAUCGGAAGAUGUGACUGGAUAGAUGUAGUUUCCAGAAGCAUCUGUUGGUAGAACUUGACCAUCAGGUCCAAUUGGUUUUCCUUCGUCGUCUUUUUCAAUUACUUGUCCAUCAUCGGUGACAAAUGCGCCAGUUGAGUCUGUGGCAAGUGGUGUUCCAUCUGGUUUAGUGAUCGGGUAAAUGGUAUUACCAGACUCAUCAGUUGGAUGAGUUCUUAUAACACCGUCAUCUGAAGGAACUAAAAUAUAAUUUCCAACAGCGUCUGUGGGUAGUGGAGAUCCAUCUGCUGACAAUGGUUUUCCACUUGCAUCAGUAGGAAUUGGUUCUCCAUCAAGUCCGAUGACAGCUCCAGAGGCAUCAGUUGGAAGCGGAGUUCCAUUUGGUCCUCGAACUGGGUAGACAGUCUUUCCAGAUUUGUCUGUUGGCAGGGCUUGUCCAUCUAGUCCAAUAACUGGGUAGAUGUAGUUUCCAGAAGCAUCGGUUGGAAGCACCUGAAAUGUUUAUUUCAACUGUUUGUAAGGAACGAUUGCAGCCCUUGAAAAAUUUAAUACUCAAAAGUGAAUACGUUAGGUUUCAAAAGAAAUAAGUCUUUAGUUUUUAUAAGAUUUUAUCUCGUAUUGGUAAAUUAUAAGUUUUAUCAUUUUGAGAAACUUUUUGAGGCAUGUUUUGGAACUUUUAAAACAUCUGCCGUACUUCCGCUAUUAGUCUUCCUUUACUUUUGAAAUUUCAGGUUAGAUUUUCUACAAAAAAAGGCCAAUUUUUCAAAGUAAUGGGGCAUUCGAAAAUUAGACUUACACUCUUACGGACCUUUUGAAAAUUAGACUAAUAGACACGGGUUGUGAUAAAGAAAUUUUCAUACGAUUCCUCAUAUUUUGAGUGACAAAGAAUCGCAAAUUUUAUGGAAAUAAUUUGAGACUGAAAAUGAAACCAUAAUUGAAUCUUUUUAAUCUUAUAAUAGUGGCACAACUCUACCGUUCAGGGAAGAUUUGGCAAAAGUAUUUUGAGCAAUUUCAGAAUAAAGCAAUUAAAACGUAAAAUGCGCAAGGUAAAAGCACAAAAAGUAUUACCUGUCCAUCUGGACCGAUUGGUUUUCCUUCAUCAUCCUUUUCAAUUAUUUGUCCAUCUUCAGUCACAAAUUCUCCGGUAGAAUCGGUUGAAAGAGGGGUUCCGUCUGGUUUUGUAAUCGAAUGGAUCACUUCUGGAGUUUUAUCGGAUGUAAAUUCAACAGUUGCUUCAACCGUUGGUACACUGAUCAUGUCACCAUCGGUUGGUAAAGUUUGUACAUCUGGUCCAACAUCUGGAUAGAUGUAGUUUCCAGAAGCAUCAGUGGAGAGAAUUUGUCCAUCUGGUCCGAUAGGCUUGCCUUCAUCAUCUUUUUCAAUAAUUUGUCCGUCUUCUGUGAUAAAUGAUCCACUCGAAUCGGUACCUAGUGGAGUUCCAUCUGGUUUUGUAAUUGGAUAGAUCACAUUUCCAGACUCGUCUGUUGGAAGCGAUUGUGAGGUAACUUCAUCGGAUGGUAACAUAAUGUAGUUGCCAUUAACAUCAGUUGGAAGCGGAGAUCCAUCCUGAGAAAGAGGCUUUCCGCUUGCAUCAGUAGGGAUCGGUUCUCCAUUAGGUCCAAUAACAGCGCCAGAAGCAUCAGUUGGAAGUGGAGUUCCAUCUGGUCCUCGAACUGGGUAAAUUGGUUUUCCAGUAGCAUCCGUCGGCAGUAUUAGCCCAUCAGGUCCUACAACCGGGUAGAUAUAAUUUCCAGAAGCGUCGGUAGUUAGUACUUGACCGUCUGGUCCAAUUGGUUUUCCUUCGUCAUCUCUUUCAAUGAUAUCUCCAAUACUGGUAAUAUAGUUUCCAGUGGAAUCGGUACCCAAUGGUGUUCCGUCGGGAUUGAUGAUUGGGUAAAUAACGUUUCCUGACUCAUCUGUCGUCUCAGUAUCUCCAGAAUAUCUGCCUGAAGGUAGAAUUACAUACCUUCCAUUGUUAUCUGUUGGAAGAGGUGAUCCAUCCUUAGCUAAAGGUCGCCCAUUAGAAUCAGUUGGAAUAGGUUCUCCAUCUGGUCCAAUAGCUGCACCAGAAGCAUCAGUUGGAAGUGGAGAUCCAUCAGGAGAUACAAUGGUAGAUUGAGUUGUGUCAGCUUCCUUCGGUUUCACAAAUUCACCAUCUUCAUUCUUUGGAAGAACUUGUCCAUUUUCAUCAAUUGGUUUACCUUCAGAGUUAGUUGGAAUAACAUUUCCAUCCUUAUCAGUAUAAACUCCAUCAUCUUCAUUAAUUGGUUCUCCAUCAAUAAUAAUAAAUGGAAUUGCUGGGGUUGCUUCUUCUUCUUCUUCAAUUUGUGGAGCAAUGACAACAUGUCCAUUAUCAUCAAAUUUAUACGGAUUUCCUUCUGAAUCAAGUGGUCUUCCUAGUUCAUCAGUAUCAAUUUCAUUUCCUGAUAAAUCGAUCCAAUUUCCAUCAUCAUUCUUUGAUAAUUCGUUUCCAUCGUUAUCAACUACUGUUAUCACUGGUUUAUCAUUAUCAUCAGUUUCAACUGGUUUUCCAAAUUUAUCAACCAAUGGAUAUACCCAUUCUCCUUUUUCAUUCUUGCUCAAUUUCUGAUCUUCUGGUCCAGUUGGUUCUUCUCCUUCAAUUACAAUUGGUUUUCCAUUGUUAUCAAUGUAGUUUCCAGAUGCAUCAGUAGGAAGUGGUUUACCACUUUGAUCGACAAUAACUGGCUUCUCAGCAUCAGUAGGAAGAACUUGGCCAUCGGAAGAUGUGACUGGAUAGAUGUAGUUUCCAGAAGCAUCGGUCGGAAGCACCUGACCAUCAGGUCCAAUCGGCUUUCCUUCGUCAUCUUUCUCAAUAGCUUGUCCAUCGUCUGUAACGAAAGAUCCUGAAGCAUCGGUUCCAAGUGGAGUUCCGUCUGGUCUUGUGAUUGGAUGAACAACAUUUCCGGAAUCAUCUGUUGGUAGUACUUUAGUCGUGACUUCAUGAGCAGGAACAAGCACAUAGUUCCCAUUAUUGUCCGUUGGAAGAGGAGAUCCUUCUGCUGACAAUGGUUUUCCACUUGCAUCAGUAGGAAUUGGUUCUCCAUCAAGUCCGAUGACAGCUCCAGAAGCAUCAGUUGGAAGUGGAGUUCCAUCGGGUCCUCGAACUGGGUAGACAGUCUUUCCAGAUUCAUCAGUUGGCAGGGCUUGUCCAUCUGGUCCAAUAACUGGGUAGAUGUAGUUUCCAGAAGCAUCAGUUGGAAGAACUUGUCCAUCAGGUCCAAUCGGUUUUCCUUCGUCAUCUUUCUCAAUAGCUUGUCCAUCGUCUCUAACAAAAGAUCCUGAAGCAUCGGUUCCAAGUGGAGUUCCGUCUGGUCUUGUGAUUGGAUGAACAACAUUUCCGGAAUCAUCUGUUGGUAGUACUUUAGUCGUGACUUCAUCAGCAGGAACAAGCACAUAGUUCCCAUUAUUGUCCGUUGGAAGAGGAGAUCCUUCUGCUGACAAUGGUUUUCCACUUGCAUCAGUAGGAAUUGGUUCUCCAUCAAGUCCGAUGACAGCUCCAGAAGCAUCAGUUGGAAGUGGAGUUCCAUCGGGUCCUCGAACUGGGUAGACAGUCUUUCCAGAUUCAUCAGUUGGCAGGGCUUGUCCAUCUGGUCCAAUAACUGGGUAGAUGUAGUUUCCAGAAGCAUCAGUUGGAAGAACUUGUCCAUCAGGUCCAAUCGGUUUUCCUUCGUCAUCUUUCUCAAUAGCUUGUCCAUCGUCUCUAACAAAAGAUCCUGAAGCAUCGGUUCCAAGUGGAGUUCCGUCUGGUCUUGUGAUUGGAUGAACAACAUUUCCGGAAUCAUCUGUUGGUAGUACUUUAGUCGUGACUUCAUCAGCAGGAACAAGCACAUAGUUCCCAUUAUUGUCCGUUGGAAGAGGAGAACCACCAUCGGCAGACAAUGGUUUCCCACUUGCAUCAGUAGGAAUUGGUUCUCCAUCAGGUCCGAUAACAGCUCCAGAAACAUCUGUUGGAAGUGGAGUGCCGUCUGGUCCACGAACUGGAUAGACUGGAUUUCCAGAUUCGUCUGUUGGUAGAGCCUGUCCAUCAGGUCCAAUGGCUGGAUAGAUGUAAUUUCCAUAAGCAUCAGUUGGAAGAACUUGACCGUCCGGGCCAAUUGGCUUUCCAUCUUCGUUGUUCUCAAUAACAGUUCCAUCCUCAGUAAUAAAUGCUCCUGUUGAAUCAUUGGACAGUGGUAUUCCAUCAGGAGUAGUAACAGUAUCAGAAUAAGUUACUCCAUAAUCUGUUGGUAUGGGACCAUCUGGUCCAAUGAAGUGUCCACUAGCAUCAGUUGGAAGUACCUUAAAAAUUUUAUAUUCUAUUGUAAAAUGAAUUUGGCCUACUUUUCCGUCUGGACCAACAGGUUUAGCUACUUUGGGAGGUCCUUCAAUCACAGUACCAUCUGGGCUAACUAGGGGAUAAAUCACGCUUCCUGUUGUGUCAGUUGGCAUAGCUUGUUCAUCAGAUCCAAUAGAUGGAUAAAUAUAGUUAUCCGAAGAAUCUGUCGGAAGUACCUGAAAGAUUUAAAAUUAUAUGAAGGAUCGAUCUAACUUAUGGUAAAGUGCAGUGAAUGCAAUAAAAUAAAUGAAAAUUUUAUAUUUACACAUUAGUUGCAAUUUAGUGAAUUCUCAAACAAGUAAGCAGUAAAACAUUCACAUUUUGGUUUAAAUUCUGACUUUGAACGUUUUAAAAAAUUUCUUACAUCACAGUUCUGAACCUUAUCCUUCGGGUUGUGUAAUUUUACUUACCAACCCAAAACUUCAAAAUAUUCAAAUUGAAAUGGCAAUUGAAUAUUCUCAAUAAAAAUAGGUACGUAUUGAAAAUUCUCGUAAAACAUUACUAACCUGUCCAUCUGGACCAAUCGGCUUUCCAUCGUCGUUCUUUUCAACAAUCUGUCCAUCUUCAGUGAUAAAUGAUCCUGAAGCAUCGGUUCCAAGUGGAGUUCCGUCUGGUCUUGUGAUUGGAUGAACAACAUUUCCGGAAUCAUCUGUUGGUAGUACUUUAGUCGUGACUUCAUCAGCAGGAACAAGCACAUAGUUUCCAUUAAUGUCAGUCGGAAGUUUAGAUCCAUCUGCUGACAAUGGUUUUCCACUAGGGUCAGUAGGAAUUGGUUCUCCAUCAGGCCCGAUAACAGCUCCAGAAGCAUCAGUUGGAAGCGGAGUUCCAUCUGGUCCGCGUACUGGGUAAACAGUCUUUCCAGAUUCAUCAGUUGGCAAGGCUUGUCCAUCCGGUCCAAUAACUGGGUAGAUGUAGUUUCCGGAAGCAUCAGUUGGGAGAACCUGUCCAUCAGGUCCAAUCGGUUUACCUUCGUCAUCUUUCUCAAUGAUUUGUCCAUCAUCAGCCACAAAUGAUCCUGUAGAGUCGGUGGCAAGUAAUGUUCCAUCGGGUUUAGUGAUUGGAUAAAUAAUGUUUCCGGCCUCGUCUGUUGGAAGUGAAUCCGUAACUCCUUCGCCUGAUGGCACAAGAAUGUAAUUUCCAGAAGCGUCAGUUGGCAAUGGCGAACCAUCCUUCGAAAUUGGUCUUCCACUAGAAUCAGUUGGAAUAGGUUCUCCAUCUGGUCCAAUAGCUGCACCAGAAGCAUCAGUUGGAAGUGGAGAUCCAUCAGGAGAUACAAUGGUAGAUUGAGUUGUGUCAGCUUCCUUCGGUUUCACAAAUUCACCAUCUUCAUUCUUUGGAAGAACUUGUCCAUUUUCAUCAAUUGGUUUACCUUCAGAGUUAGUUGGAAUAACAUUUCCAUCCUUAUCAGUAUAAACUCCAUCAUCUUCAUUAAUUGGUUCUCCAUCAAUAAUAAUAAAUGGAAUUGCUGGGGUUGUUUCUUCUUCUUCUUCAAUUUGUGGAGCAAUGACAACAUGUCCAUUAUCAUCAAAUUUAUACGGAUUUCCUUCUGAAUCAAGUGGUCUUCCUAGUUCAUCAGUAUCAAUUUCAUUUCCUGAUAAAUCGAUCCAAUUUCCAUCAUCAUUCUUUGAUAAUUCGUUUCCAUCGUUAUCAACUACUGUUAUCACUGGUUUAUCAUUAUCAUCAGUUUCAACUGGUUUUCCAAAUUUAUCAACCAAUGGAUAUACCCAUUCUCCUUUUUCAUUCUUGCUCAAUUUCUGAUCUUCUGGUCCAGUUGGUUCUUCUCCUUCAAUUACAAUUGGUUUUCCAUUGUUAUCAAUGUAGUUUCCAGAUGCAUCAGUAGGAAGUGGUUUACCACUUUGAUCGACAAUAACUGGCUUCUCAGCAUCAGUAGGAAGAACUUGGCCAUCGGAAGAUGUGACUGGAUAGAUGUAGUUUCCAGAAGCAUCUGUUGGUAGAACUUGACCAUCAGGUCCAAUUGGUUUUCCUUCGUCGUCUUUUUCAAUUACUUGUCCAUCAUCGGUGACAAAUGCGCCAGUUGAGUCUGUGGCAAGUGGUGUUCCAUCUGGUUUAGUGAUCGGAUAAAUGGUAUUACCAGACUCAUCAGUUGGAUGAGUUCUUAUUACACCGUCAUCUGAAGGAACUAAAAUAUAAUUUCCAACAGCGUCUGUGGGUAGUGGAGAUCCAUCUGCUGACAAUGGUUUUCCACUUGCAUCAGUAGGAAUUGGUUCUCCAUCAAGUCCGAUGAGAGCUCCAGAGGCAUCAGUUGAAAGCGGAGUUCCAUCUGGUCCUCGAACUGGAUAGACAGUCUUUCCAGAUUUGUCUGUUGGCAGGGCUUGUCCAUCUGGUCCAAUAACUGGGUAGAUGUAGUUUCCAGAAGCAUCGGUCGGAAGCACCUGACCAUCAGGUCCAAUCGGCUUUCCUUCGUCAUCUUUCUCAAUAGCUUGUCCAUCGUCUGUAACGAAAGAUCCUGAAGCAUCGGUUCCAAGUGGAGUUCCGUCUGGUCUUGUGAUUGGAUGAACAACAUUUCCGGAAUCAUCUGUUGGUAGUACUUUAGUCGUGACUUCAUCAGCAGGCACAAGCACGUAGUUCCCAUUAUUGUCAGUCGGGAGUGGAGAUCCAUCUGCUGACAAUGGUUUUCCACUUGCAUCAGUAGGAAUUAUUUCUCCAUCAGGUCCGAUAACAGCUCCAGAAGCAUCCGUUGGCAGUGGAAUUCCAUCUGGUCCGAGUACUGGGUAGACAGUCUUUCCAGAUUCGUCUGUUGGUAGAGCUUGUCCAUCGGGUCCAACAACUGGGUAGAUGUAAUUGCCAGAGUCAUCGAUUGGAAGAGUCUGAAAUGAAAGUCAUAAUGUUACAAAUUUUCAUUUGCUACGUCUUUGGGUAUUUAAAAAGUCAUAUUAUUUAAGUUGCUUUUCAUUGCUUCCUUGUCUUAUAGAUGUACUGAAAUAGUGAGAGCGAAGAUAUUGAUAUUUUCACAAAAUACUCUUCAAGUUUUAUAAACGAUUCUAAUUGAACUUUUUUUAAAUUAAAAUACUAAUUGAUAUGCAAAACAAACCAAUCAGACAAUACGGCCUCUGGCAUUAUUUUUCAAGAGUUGUUUUUUAUCUAUUCUACCAAAUUUAUAGAUUAUGUAAUUUUUGUACAUAAAGAAUUAAUGACGGCAAUAAGGCCGGUAGGGAAAUAACUUGCUGCUCAGAUAACCAAGAGUAUUUUCUAAUAAGCAGAAAAAUAAUAAACCCCUUUUUUAAUUAGUCAAAAAUAAAUUUUUAUUAGGUUAAAGGUGAAGUAGCGCCUGUGAGGAUUUUGUCUAAGUGCACCUAUAAGGAUCCAAAACAACCGAAUAUCAUAAUAAAACACUCCAAAAAAUUUAGAUUUUUCACAAUUAACGGUCAAAGUUUUGGUAAGUGCCAAAAUUUUGAAAAAAAACGAGCUUUUGAGGAAAUGUAAAGAAAUGUCGCUUGUUUAGACCCCUACAAUGUUUUAAUACAAAUAAUUUAAACAAAAUUAAAACAUAAAAAAUGUCGAAAAAAAAAUUUUUGGUCGACUUCCAAAAUUAUGAUGUUUGGAAAAGUUUUAUCUUGAAAUUUGGUCAUUUUAGAACGGACUAAAGGAAUAGGUUUUAACAAUUAACCCACUGGCGCUACUCCACCUUUAAAAGCAUGUAUAAUUAAGGUGACUCUACAACUGGUCUAAAUGAUAAUUAGAAGUGCCUUCACUAUUUUCUACUAUUUUCGUAUCAACAUUACCUGUCCAUCUGGUCCAAUCGGCUUUCCUUCGUCAUCUUUCCCAAUAGCUUGUCCAUCGUCUGUAACGAAAGAUCCUGAAGCAUCGGUUCCAAGUGGAGUUCCGUCAGGUUUAGUAAUUGGAUAAACAACACUUCCAGAUUCAUCAGUUGGAAGCACUUUAGCUGCAGAUUCGUCAGAUGGAACGAGAACAUAGUUUCCAUUAAUGUCAGUCGGAAGUGGAGAUCCAUCUGCUGACAAUGGUUUUCCACUAGGGUCAGUAGGAAUUGGUUCUCCAUCAGGCCCGAUAACAGCUCCAGAAGCAUCAGUUGGAAGCGGAGUUCCAUCUGGUCCGCGUACUGGGUAAACAGUCUUUCCAGAUUCAUCAGUUGGCAAGGCUUGUCCAUCCGGUCCAAUAACUGGGUAGAUGUAGUUUCCGGAAGCAUCAGUUGGGAGAACCUGUCCAUCAGGUCCAAUCGGUUUACCUUCGUCAUCUUUCUCAAUGAUUUGUCCAUCAUCAGCCACAAAUGAUCCUGUAGAGUCGGUGGCAAGUAAUGUUCCAUCGGGUUUAGUGAUUGGAUAAAUAAUGUUUCCGGCCUCGUCUGUUGGAAGUGAAUCCGUAACUCCUUCGCCUGAUGGCACAAGAAUGUAAUUUCCAGAAGCGUCAGUUGGCAAUGGCGAACCAUCCUUCGAAAUUGGUCUUCCACUAGAAUCAGUUGGAAUAGGUUCUCCAUCUGGUCCAAUAGCUGCACCAGAAGCAUCAGUUGGAAGUGGAGAUCCAUCAGGAGAUACAAUGGUAGAUUGAGUUGUGUCAGCUUCCUUCGGUUUCACAAAUUCACCAUAUUCAUUCUUUGGAAGAACUUGUCCAUUUUCAUCAAUUGGUUUACCUUCAGAGUUAGUUGGAAUAACAUUUCCAUCCUUAUCAGUAUAAACUCCAUCAUCUUCAUUAAUUGGUUCUCCAUCAAUAAUAAUAAAUGGAAUUGCUGGGGUUGCUUCUUCUUCUUCUUCAAUUUGUGGAGCAAUGACAACAUGUCCAUUAUCAUCAAAUUUAUACGGAUUUCCUUCUGAAUCAAGUGGUCUUCCUAGUUCAUCAGUAUCAAUUUCAUUUCCUGAUAAAUCGAUCCAAUUUCCAUCAUCAUUCUUUGAUAAUUCGUUUCCAUCGUUAUCAACUACUGUUAUCACUGGUUUAUCAUUAUCAUCAGUUUCAACUGGUUUUCCAAAUUUAUCAACCAAUGGAUAUACCCAUUCUCCUUUUUUAUUCUUGCUCAAUUUCUGAUCUUCUGGUCCAGUUGGUUCUUCUCCUUCAAUUACAAUUGGUUUUCCAUUGUUAUCAAUGUAGUUUCCAGAUGCAUCAGUAGGAAGUGGUUUACCACUUUGAUCGACAAUAACUGGCUUCUCAGCAUCAGUAGGAAGAACUUGGCCAUCGGAAGAUGUGACUGGAUAGAUGUAGUUUCCAGAAGCAUCUGUUGGUAGAACUUGACCAUCAGGUCCAAUUGGUUUUCCUUCGUCGUCUUUUUCAAUUACUUGUCCAUCAUCGGUGACAAAUGCGCCAGUUGAGUCUGUGGCAAGUGGUGUUCCAUCUGGUUUAGUGAUCGGGUAAAUGGUAUUACCAGACUCAUCAGUUGGAUGAGUUCUUAUAACACCGUCAUCUGAAGGAACUAAAAUAUAAUUUCCAACAGCGUCUGUGGGUAGUGGAGAUCCAUCUGCUGACAAUGGUUUUCCACUUGCAUCAGUAGGAAUUGGUUCUCCAUCAAGUCCGAUGACAGCUCCAGAGGCAUCAGUUGGAAGCGGAGUUCCAUUUGGUCCUCGAACUGGGUAGACAGUCUUUCCAGAUUUGUCUGUUGGCAGGGCUUGUCCAUCUAGUCCAAUAACUGGGUAGAUGUAGUUUCCAGAAGCAUCGGUCGGAAGCACCUGAAAUGUUUAUUUCAACUGUUUGUAAGGAACGAUUGCAGCCCUUGAAAAAUUUAAUACUCAAAAGUGAAUACGUUAGGUUUCAAAAGAAAUAAGUCUUUAGUUUUUAUAAGAUUUUAUCUCGUAUUGGUAAAUUAUAAGUUUUAUCAUUUUGAGAAACUUUUUGAGGCAUGUUUUGGAACUUUUAAAACAUCUGCCGUACUUCCGCUAUUAGUCUUCCUUUACUUUUGAAAUUUCAGGUUAGAUUUUCUACAAAAAAAGGCCUAUUUUUCAAAGUAAUGGGGCAUUCGAAAAUUAGACUUACACUCUUACGGACCUUUUGAAAAUUAGACUAAUAGACACGGGUUGUGAUAAAGAAAUUUUCAUACGAUUCCUCAUAUUUUGAGUGACAAAGAAUCGCAAAUUUUAUGGAAAUAAUUUGAGACUGAAAAUGAAACCAUAAUUGAAUCUUUUUAAUCUUAUAAUAGUGGCACAACUCUACCGUUCAGGGAAGAUUUGGCAAAAGUAUUUUGAGCAAUUUCAGAAUAAAGCAAUUAAAACGUAAAAUGCGCAAGGUAAAAGCACAAAAAGUAUUACCUGUCCAUCUGGACCGAUUGGUUUUCCUUCAUCAUCCUUUUCAAUUAUUUGUCCAUCUUCAGUCACAAAUUCUCCGGUAGAAUCGGUUGAAAGAGGGGUUCCGUCUGGUUUUGUAAUCGAAUGGAUCACUUCUGGAGUUUUAUCGGAUGUAAAUUCAACAGUUGCUUCAACCGUUGGUACACUGAUCAUGUCACCAUCGGUUGGUAAAGUUUGUACAUCUGGUCCAACAUCUGGAUAGAUGUAGUUUCCAGAAGCAUCAGUGGAGAGAAUUUGUCCAUCUGGUCCGAUAGGCUUGCCUUCAUCAUCUUUUUCAAUAAUUUGUCCGUCUUCUGUGAUAAAUGAUCCACUCGAAUCGGUACCUAGUGGAGUUCCAUCUGGUUUUGUAAUUGGAUAGAUCACAUUUCCAGACUCGUCUGUUGGAAGCGAUUGUGAGGUAACUUCAUCGGAUGGUAACAUAAUGUAGUUGCCAUUAACAUCAGUUGGAAGCGGAGAUCCAUCCUGAGAAAGAGGCUUUCCGCUUGCAUCAGUAGGGAUCGGUUCUCCAUUAGGUCCAAUAACAGCGCCAGAAGCAUCAGUUGGAAGUGGAGUUCCAUCUGGUCCUCGAACUGGGUAAAUUGGUUUUCCAGUAGCAUCCGUCGGCAGUAUUAGCCCAUCAGGUCCUACAACCGGGUAGAUAUAAUUUCCAGAAGCGUCGGUAGUUAGUACUUGACCGUCUGGUCCAAUUGGUUUUCCUUCGUCAUCUCUUUCAAUGAUAUCUCCAAUACUGGUAAUAUAGUUUCCAGUGGAAUCGGUACCCAAUGGUGUUCCGUCGGGAUUGAUGAUUGGGUAAAUAACGUUUCCUGACUCAUCUGUCGUCUCAGUAUCUCCAGAAUAUCUGCCUGAAGGUAGAAUUACAUACCUUCCAUUGUUAUCUGUUGGAAGAGGUGAUCCAUCCUUAGCUAAAGGUCGCCCAUUAGAAUCAGUUGGAAUAGGUUCUCCAUCUGGUCCAAUAGCUGCACCAGAAGCAUCAGUUGGAAGUGGAGAUCCAUCAGGAGAUACAAUGGUAGAUUGAGUUGUGUCAGCUUCCUUCGGUUUCACAAAUUCACCAUCUUCAUUCUUUGGAAGAACUUGUCCAUUUUCAUCAAUUGGUUUACCUUCAGAGUUAGUUGGAAUAACAUUUCCAUCCUUAUCAGUAUAAACUCCAUCAUCUUCAUUAAUUGGUUCUCCAUCAAUAAUAAUAAAUGGAAUUGCUGGGGUUGUUUCUUCUUCUUCUUCAAUUUGUGGAGCAAUGACAACAUGUCCAUUAUCAUCAAAUUUAUACGGAUUUCCUUCUGAAUCAAGUGGUCUUCCUAGUUCAUCAGUAUCAAUUUCAUUUCCUGAUAAAUCGAUCCAAUUUCCAUCAUCAUUCUUUGAUAAUUCGUUUCCAUCGUUAUCAACUACUGUUAUCACUGGUUUAUCAUUAUCAUCAGUUUCAACUGGUUUUCCAAAUUUAUCAACCAAUGGAUAUACCCAUUCUCCUUUUUUAUUCUUGCUCAAUUUCUGAUCUUCUGGUCCAGUUGGUUCUUCUCCUUCAAUUACAAUUGGUUUUCCAUUGUUAUCAAUGUAGUUUCCAGAUGCAUCAGUAGGAAGUGGUUUACCACUUUGAUCGACAAUCACCGGAGUAGAAGAUAUUGUUGGAACGGUCUCAUCAAUGACAUGCUUGGUAUCAUCUGGAACAAUCUCGACAAGUCCUUUCUCACAAGCUUCAAUCAACGUGUUGAUGAUGUCCUUCGGAGUUGUUCCGUAUUUUACAGUGAUAUAUGUUGCUCCACCAAUGAAGGUUGAUCUGAAAAUAAUUUUGUUUGCAUUCGAAACUUAUUAAAGCUCACUCACUUUUCUUCAUUGUCUGCGAAGAUUACAACCAUUUUAGAAAUACCUGUCCGUGGGAAACUUGUGAAUUGUUGAUUAGCAGCUUGAACUGGAGACAGAAUUUCAGUUCCAACGAUUGGUGGGAUUUCGAAUGAAUUGAGAAUAGAACUGAGAUGCUCCUUUUCUUGAUAUCCUCCGAGUGGAAGUGGAACAGCAAUUUCACUACCAACGGAAAGAACUGCAAGACGGAUGAUGUCUGGAGACAUGUCAACUUUUCUAGAGAAUCCGACAACUGCCUUCUUGAAUUGAUCGUAGUUUUGAGCCCCAUCUCCGUCAUUUACUAGCACAAAGAUAAUAUCAGAAAGGGAGGACGAAAUGUCGCAUUUCUUUGAGUCUUUCUUUUCAUCGUCAGUAGGAACAAAGAUAUAGUUUCCAGAAGAAUCAGUAGAAAGUGGCGAUCCAUUUCGUGACAGCGGCUUACCACUAGCAUCAGUUGGAAUUGGUUCUCCAUCAAGUCCAAUGACAGCUCCAGAAGCAUCCGUUGGCAGUGGAGUUCCAUCUGGUCCACGAACUGGGUAGACAGUCUUUCCGGAUUCGUCGGUUGGUAAAGCUUGUCCAUCUGGUCCGAUCACUGGGUAAAUGUAGUUUCCAGAAGCAUCGAUCGGAAGAAUCUGACCAUCAGGUCCAAUCGGCUUUCCUUCGUCAUCUUUCUCAAUAGCUUGUCCAUCGUCUGUAAUAAAAGAUCCUGAAGCAUCGGUUCCAAGUGGAGUUCCGUCUGGUCUUGUGAUUGGAUGAACAACAUUUCCGGAAUCAUCUGUUGGUAGUACUUUAGUCGUGACUUCAUCAGCAGGAACAAGCACAUAUUUCCCAUUAUUGUCAGUCGGGAGUGGAGAUCCAUCGGCAGACAAUGGUUUUCCACUAGCGUCAGUAGGAAUUGGUUCUCCAUCAGGCCCGAUAACAGCUCCAGAAGCAUCAGUUGGAAGUGGAGUUCCAUCUGGACCAUGUACUGGAUACGGAGUCUUUUCAGACUCGUCAGUCGGCUGAGUUUUUCCAUCUGGACCAACAAUUGGAUAGAUAUAGUUUCCUGACGCAUCUGUUGGAAGAACCUGACCGUCUGGUCCAAGUGGCUUUCCGUCGUCGUCCUUCUCAAUAAUUGUUCCAUCUUCAGUGACGAAAACUCCAGUUGAAUCAGAGGCGAGAGGAGUUCCAUCUGGUUUAGUGAUUGGAUAAAUAAUUUUUCCGGAAUCGUCAGUUGGAAGUUCUUCAUCCAUUCUUUUUUCAGAGGGUACAAUAAUGAAGUUUCCAUUGCUGUCAGUAGGCAGAGGUGAUCCAUCCUUGAAUAGCGGUUUACCACUGGUGUCAGUUGGAAUUGGUUCUCCAUCUGGACCAAUUGAAGCUCCAGAAGCAUCAGUUGGUAGUGGAGUUCCAUCUGGUCCAUGAACUGGAUAGAUAGUCUUUCCAGAUUCAUCAGUUGGCAGAGCUUGUCCAUCGGGUCCAACAACUGGGUAGAUGUAAUUGCCAGAGUCAUCGGUUGGAAGAGUCUGAAAUUCUUCCAUUUCUAGUAGAUUUAUUAAAAAUUUGGUGGUGUACGAAAACCAUAAAUGUUAUAGUGCGUAACAUUUCUAGAUUGUGUUUUUUAUUUUAUCAACACAUACCUGUCCGUCUGGGCCUAUAGGCUUUCCUUCUUCGUCUUUCUCAAUAGUUUCUCCGUUAUCUGUGACAAAGUUUCCAGUAGAGUCAGUCGCAAGAGGAGUUCCAUCUGGCUUGGUGAUCGGGUAGAUAACAUUUACAGAUUCGUCAGUUGUUAAUCCUUGUGUCGUUUCUUCAUUAGAAGGUAAUAAAACAUAAUUUCCAUUGUUGUCUGUUGGGAGUAGCGAUCCAUCUUGUGACAGUGGUUUUCCACUUGCAUCAGUAGGAAUUGGUUCUCCAUCAGGUCCGAUAACAGCUCCAGAAGCAUCCGUUGGCAGUGGAGUUCCAUCUGGUCCUCGAACUGGAUAGAUAGUCUUUCCAGAUUCGUCAGUUGGAAGACCUUGUCCGUCUGGGCCAAUGACUGGAUAAACGUAGUUACCCGAAGCGUCAGUUGGGAGAAUCUGCAAUUACCGUAUUUUUUCGAUUAGUCUUGCAGCCUCUAUUAAUCUUGCAGGGUAAAUUGAACUUAAAUGCGUUCAAAUUGAUAUACAUAGUUGAUAGCUGAUAUAGAUGAUAUAAUUGAUAAAGUUUUUGGGAAAGUAUGUCUUUUUCGUUGUUUAAACGGUAUCAAGUUGAGUUUUCUAUAAAAAAAAUUGGUGAUCUUUCAAAAUUUUGGAGCAUUUGAAAAUUAUUUUUGCAUGCAAGACUAAUAGAGGAAAUACGGUAUAUAGUUCAAAGAAAUUUACUUUCUUUUUUAAAGCUUUAUGAUUUGUUUUAAUACCUGUCCGUCCGGUCCAAUUGGUUUUCCUUCAUCGUCUCGUUCAAUGAUCUCUCCAUUCUCAGUGAUGAAAUUACCAGUUGAGUCAGUGGAAAGUAAUGUACCAUCUGGUUUGGUGAUUGGAAUUUCUUUAAUUUCUUCUCCUGGUUGUUCAGCUGAAACAACAAUGUAGUUUCCAGAUGCAUCUGUUGACAGCGGCAAACCAUCUUUAUUCAACGGAAUUCCGUUCGAAUCAGUAGGAAUGACUUCUCCAUCUGGUCCAAUCACUGCUCCAGAGUCAUCAGUUGGCAAUGGUGAUCCAUCAGGUCCAAUAACAGCUCCAGAAGCAUCCGUUGGAAGUGGUGUUCCGUCCUGUCCAUGAACUGGAUAGAUGUAGUUGCCAGAUGCGUCGGUUGGAAGUACCUAAGAAUAAAUCAUGAAUAAUCAGGAAUGAUUGUUUGCUUUUUUCAAAGGUGAAGUAGCGCCAGUGGGAAUUUUGUCUAAAUGCACUUAUGAUGAUCCAAAACAACCAAAUAUCAUAAUAAAACAUUCCAAAAAAUUUUAGAUUUUUCAUAAUGUUCGAUUAAAGUUUUGACAGGAUGCCAAAAUGUUGAAAACGUUUUUAUGAAAAGUUUUAUAUUUGGUCAUUUUGGGACCAAAGGAGUGGUUUUUAACAAUUUCCCCACUAGCGCUACUCCACCUUUAAUAUUUCGAUAUUACUUACUUGUCCAUCAGGCCCGAGAGGUUUUCCUUCGUCAUCUUUUUCUAUAACUUUUCCAUCUUCAGUUACAAAUGAUCCAGUUGAAUCAGUAGAAAGAAGUGAACCAUCUGACAUAGUUAUAGGAUAUAUAACAUUGCGAUUGUCAUCAGUUGGCAUAGAUUUUGUGACAGUUUCAGAUGUUGGAACGAGAACAUAAUUUCCUUGAUUGUCUGUUGGGAGUGGAGACCCGUCCUCUGACAGCGGCACGCCGUUUGAAUCAGUUGGGAUCGGCUUGCCGUCGGGACCGAGCGCUGCGCCUGAUGCGUCUGUUGGAAGUGUAGAACCGUCGGGUCCACGAACUGGGUAAACUGGUUUUCCAGAAACGUCAGUUGGUUGAACUUGACCAUCUGGUGUAACAUCAGGAUAUAUAUAGUUUCCAGAUUCAUCUGUAGGUAGCACUUGUCCGUCAGGUCCAACAGGCUUUCCUUCAUCAUCCUUUUCAAUAACUGUUCCAUCUUCAGUGACAAAUGAUCCAGUUGAGUCAGUUGCCAGAGGAGUACCAUCUGGUUUUGUGAUUGGAUAAACAAUGUUUCCUGAUUCAUCUGUCGGCAAUGGCUUAGUCGUCUCUUCAACUUUUUGUAAAUAUACAUAAUUACCAGAAGCAUCAGUGGGUAGUGUUUGUCCAUCAGGUCCAAGUGGUUUACCCUCGUCGUCUCUAUCGACAAUUUCUCCAGAAUUAGUCAAGAAGUUUCCACUCAAGUCUGUAGAAAGUGGAGUGCCAUCUUCAUUUACAACAGGAUAAAUUGUGUUUCCACUAUCAUCUGUUGGGUGGGAUUUUACUGUCGACCCAUCAGUAGGGACAAUAACAUAGUUCCCGUUGUUGUCAGUCGGGAGUGGAGAUCCAUCGGCAGACAAUGGUUUUCCACUAGCGUCAGUAGGAAUUGGUUCUCCAUCAGGCCCGAUAACAGCUCCAGAGGCAUCAGUUGGAAGUGGAGUUCCGUCGGGUCCGCGUACUGGGUACACCGUUCUUCCAGUAUCAUCUGUUGGAAUAGUUUGACCGUUAGGGCCGACAGCUGGAUAGAUGUAAUUACCAGAAUCAUCGGUUGAUAGUACCUGAAAAAAAAAAUUGAAAAGGCUUAAUUGCAAUAGAAUUAGGCUUAAAACAUUAAUUUAGAUUUUAGUUAUAUUUUUACAUAUAUGUAUUAUAAUCGUACCUGUCCAUCUGGUCCAAGCGGUUUUCCUUCGUCGUCCUUUUCAAUAAUCUGUCCGUCAUCUGUCACAAAUGAUCCUGUGGAGUCAGUGGCUAGAGGUGUUCCAUCAGGUUUGGUAAUAGGAUAAAUCACAUUUCCAACAUCAUCCGUAGGUAAAGUCUUUGUUACUUCUCCGUCUGAUGGAACAAGAAUAUAGUUUCCAGAAGCAUCAGUUGGAAGUGGCGAUCCAUCUUGUGACAGCGGCUUACCACUGGCAUCAGUUGGAAUUGGUUCUCCAUCUGGUCCAAUAACAGCUCCUGAAGCAUCAGUUGGAAGCGGAGUUCCAUCUGGUCCUCGAAUUGGGUAGACAGUCUUUCCAGAUUCGUCUGUCGGAAGAGCUUGUCCAUCUGGACCGAUUACUGGAUAGAUGUAGUUACCAGAAUCAUCAGUUGGUAAAGCCUGCCCGUCUGGUCCAAGUGGUUUUCCCUCAUCAUCUAUAUCAAUGAUGUCACCAGAGCUAGUAACGAAGUUUCCGCUUGAAUCAGUUGCCAAUGGAGUACCGUCCGGCUGAACAAUUGGAUACACUUCUUUGGCCUCGUCGGUUGGCAAAGCUUUGACGACUGAUUCAUCGGCUGGGAUGAGAAUAUAGUUUCCAUCGUUAUCUGUAGGUAAUGGUGAACCAUCCUUAUUCAAUGGUAAUCCGGUUUCAUCAGUUGGAAUUGGUUUCCCAUCAGAUCCGAUGACAGCUCCAGAAGCAUCAGUCGAAAGUGGAGUUCCAUCAGGUCCACGAACUGGAUAGACUGUCUUUCCAGAUUCGUCAGUUGGCAAGGCUUGUCCGUCUGGUCCAAUCACUGGAUAAAUAUAGUUACCAGAAGAAUCAGUUGGAAGAACCUGUCCAUCAGGUCCGAUCGGUUUACCGUCUUCGUCUUUAGCAAUAACUUGGUCAUCAUCAGUAACAAACGAGCCGGUGGAAUCAGUUGCGAGAGGAGUUCCAUCUGGUUUAGUUAUUGGGUGAACAAUGCUUUCUGAGCCUUGAGUUGGUUUUUCUUCGGUUGCGCCUUCAUCAGAAGGAACUAACACGUAGUUUCCAGUGUUAUCAGUGGGAAGUGGUGAUCCAUCUUUGGAGAGUGGGAUUCCGUUUUCGUCGGUAGCAAUAGUUUCUCCAUCAGGCCCAAUAGCAGCUCCAGAAGCAUCAGUUGGAAGUGGAAUUCCAUCAGGUCCACGAACCGGAUAAAUUGGCUUCCCACUUGCAUCAGUUGGUAGAACCUAAAUUUCAAAUUUUAACUAAGUUGAUUACUCAAUAUAUAAAAUUUAUGAACUUCUAAACUUACUUGUCCAUCUGGUCCAUGAGUGACUUCUUGUGGUUCGGCUGUUGGUUCAACCACAGAUCCUGGAUAAACAUAGUUUCCUGAAGCAUCAGUCGCCAGAACUUCACCAUCUGGGCCUAGUGGUUUUCCUUCCUCAUUGAACUCAAUUCUAUCUCCAUUUUCAGUAACAAAACUUCCAGUGGAGUCAGUUGGCAGAAGUGUUCCGUCAGGUUUAGUGAUUGGAACAAUAACGUUUCCAGUUUCAUCAGUUGGAUAUUCUUUUGUAUCAACUUGUUGAGUUGGAAGAAUAAUGUAAUUUCCUUCGUUAUCAACAGGGAGUGGAGAUCCAUCUUGUGCAAGUGGUUUACCACUUGCAUCAGUUGGAAUUGGUUCUCCAUCAGGACCGAUGACAGCUCCCGAAGCGUCAGUUGGGAGUGGAGUUCCGUCUGGUCCUCGAACUGGAUAAAUUGGUUUUCCAGAAGCGUCUGUAGGAAGAGCUUGGCCGUCUGGUCCGACAAUUGGAUAAAUAUAGUUUCCAGAAUUGUCCGUUGGUAAUACUUGUCCGUCGGGACCAAGUGGUUUUCCAUCUUCAUUCUUUUCAAUUAUUUGUCCAUCUUCAGUAACGAAUGAUCCAGUAGAAUCAGUUGCAAGAGGUGUUCCAUCUGGUUUGGUAAUAGGGUAAAUCACAAAUCCAGAUUCAUCAGUUGGAGUCCCAUCUGUAACUACUUCGUCGGUUGGAAUUGAAAGAAGGUUUCCACUGGCAUCAGUUGGCAUCAUUGAAGGUAACGGAACUGAAAACACUUAUAUGUUUUUUUCUCACUGUCAUAUACAAAUAUGCAACAAACCUUCACUCGGAAUACAUAGAUGGCUUCUCAAUAAUUCAACGGCAUUGGGAUCUUCAGCCCACUGUUUCUCGUUAAGAUGAAUAAGACGAGUAUUUGGUAGAGCUCGGAUUCUUUCAGUAUAAACCUUGCUGCUAGUUCUGAAAACUUAUUUUUUGAAGAUAGCCUCAAAUAAUUAACUUUUACCUCAUGGGCGAGGCCAAUAAAUGCAAAACCAGCGUAUCCCCUCUCGAAGUUUCUUCCAGAAUCAUUUUUGCUGUUCUCAAGGCAUUAGUGACAUCUGGAAUUCCUCCAAUUUCUCUGAUUUCAUUUGUUGAGUCAAAUAGUUCUUUGAAAUCCCCAUAGGAGCCAAUAUCAAUAGUGAUUUCAGUGGUAGCGCUGUAAAUUAAUGUUCCUAUCUUUGGAAGGAAAUCUCUUGGAGUAGUAAGUAGGAGAUUCUCGAUGAGCUUUUUGAGAGUAUCCAGAUAUGGUGCACUUGUAUGUGAACUUUCGACAACAAAGAGUAAUGUGUCAACACGGCCAUCAACCUGAUCACAGUUUGGUGCUUCAAGUUCGAUUGGGACAACGUCGGUUGGGAUAAAUACUGCAUAACCUUGAGUUGGAACAUCAGUGAAAAUGUAGUUGUUUGAUGCAUCAGUUGGAAGUACCUGACCAUCAGCGCCAAUCGGCCUUCCCUCUUUAUCAUUUUCGAUAAUCACUCCAUCCUCUGUGACAAAGUGCCCAGAAGAAUCAGUUGCAAGAGGAGUUCCAUCUGGUCUCGUGAUUUGGUGUUGAACGACUACAGGGCCCGCUUCAUUGGUUGGUGCAUCGGAAGGAACAAGGAUAUAGUUUCCGGAAGCGUCGGUUGAAAGAAAAGAACCAUCUUUGUCAAGCGGUCUUCCGCUAGCAUCAGUUGGAAUCGGCUCUCCAUCAGGUCCAAUAACAGCGCCAGAGGCAUCCGUUGAAAGUGGAAUUCCAUCUGGCCCAUAGACUGGGUAGACAGUUUUACCAGUAUCAUCUGUUGGAAGUACUUGUCCAUCAGGUCCAACAACCGGAUAGAUGUAGUUGCCAGAUGCGUCUGUUGGAAGCACCUGUCCAUCUGGUCCAAGUGGUUUACCAUCUUCGUCUCUCUCAACAAUUUCUCCACCUUCAGUUACGAAGGACCCAGUUGAGUCAGUUGCCAGAGAAGUACCAUCUGGUUUGGUGAUUGGAUAGAUCACGUUUCCAGAGUCAUCGGUUGGGAGAGUUUUUGUUAUGUCCUGUUCAGAAGGCACUAGAAUAUAAUUUCCAGAAGCAUCGGUUGGAAGUGGAGAUCCAUCUUUAUCUAGAGGAAUUCCGUUUGCGUCAGUGGGAAUCACUUCUCCAUCAGGACUGAUAACAGCUCCAGAAGCAUCAGUUGGAAGUGGAGUUCCAUCUGGUCCGCGUACUGGGUAGACAGUCUUUCCAGAUUCAUCAGUUGGCAGGGCUUGUCCAUCUGGUCCAAUAACUGGGUAAAUGUAAUUCCCAGAAGCGUCAGUUGGCAAGAUCUGAAAAAAAAACAGUUUACUAAAUCCACUUAUCUGGCUUUGUGAACAAAAAAUAAUCAAAUGGAAAAAACACGAGUCUUUCACAAACCUGUCCAUUUGGUCCAAGAGGUUUUCCUUCUUCAUCCUUAGUAAUGACGUCCCCAUUUUCUGUAACAAAGUUUCCGGUGGAGUCAGUAGCAAGUGGAGUUCCAUCUGGUUUAGUGAUUGGAUGAACGGCAUCACUAGUCUCAUCAGUGGGGUGGGUCUUCGUGGCACCUUCAUCUGAUGGAACAAGUACGUAAUUUCCAUUGUUAUCCGUAGGAAGUUGUGAUCCAUCCUUUGAUAAAGGAAUUCCAUUUUCAUCAGUAGGAAUGACUUCUCCGUCGGGGCCAAUAAUUGCACCAGAAUCAUCUGUUGGAAGUGGAGUUCCAUCUGGACCAUGAACUGGAUACACAGUUUUUCCAGUAUGAUCAGUUGGAAGCAGUUGUUCAUCUGAUUUUACUUCUGGGUACACAUAGUUUCCAGAUUCAUCAGUUGGGAGCACCUAAAAAAUUCAUGUUUGAUCUAGAAAUCAGAUCUACUAUGUUUUUUUUUGUUUUUAUGUAAUGGUUAAGCUUGUUCUUUAAAAAAAACAUAUGUUCGAUGAGUUAAAAUGAAAUACGAAUGAUCAUAACUAAUCGAUACAUCAAAAUGGCAUUUUAGUUAUAUAUAAUUUUUAUAAUAAUUUUUGUACCCGAAAGAUUUUUGAUUCCUUUCAACUAUAUUGUAAGAUUUCUUAAACUCACCUGUCCAUCUGGUCCAAGUGGUUUUCCUUCAUCAUCUUUUUCAAUAAUUUGUCCAUCCUCAGUCACAAAGGAACCCGUUGAAUCGGUGGCCAAUAGGGUUCCGUCUGGUUUAGUGAUUGGAUAAAUGACAUUUCCAGUGUCAUCUGUAGGAUGGGAUCCACGUACUGGAUACACAGUUUUUCCAGAUUCAUCAGUUUGUCCAUCUGGACCAACGACCGGAUAAAUGUAGUUCCCAGAAUCAUCAGUUGGAAGUACUUGUCCAUCUGGUCCAAGUGGUUUUCCUUCGUCAUCUUUUUCAAUAAUCUGACCAUCAUCAGUAACAAAUGUUCCAGUAGAAUCAGUUGCGAGUGGAGUUCCAUCGGCUUUAGUGAUUGGGUAGAUAACAUUUCCUGAUUCAUCUGUUGGAAGAGCUUUAGUUGCGGUCUCAGAAGUCGGAACUAGAAUAUAAUUUCCUUGAUUAUCAGUUGGAAGUGGGGUUCCAUCUUGUGAUAGUGGGAUUCCGUUAGAGUCAGUUGGAAUGACUUCUCCAUCAGGCCCAAUAACAGCUCCAGAAACAUCAGUUGGAAGUGGGGUGCCAUCUGGACCGCGAACAGGGUAAACAGUCUUUCCAGACUCAUCAGUUGGAAGGGCUUGCCCAUCUGGGCCGAUCACUGGAUAAAUGUAGUUUCCGGAAGCAUAAGUUGGAAGUACUUGUCCAUCUGGCCCAAGUGGUUUUCCUUCGUCAUCUUUCUCAAUAGUCUGGCCCUCAUCUGUAACAAAUGAUCCAGUGGAAUCAGUUGCGAGUGGAGUUCCAUCUGCUCUUGUAACUGGAUAAACGAUAGUGCCGGAUUCGUCAGUUGAAAGUUCCUUAGCAGUUACUUCGUCAGAUGGUACAAGUACGUAAUUUCCAGAAGCGUCAGUGGGCAGAGGAGAACCGUCUGCAGAGAGUGGCUUGCCACUCGAAUCAGUGGGAAUUGGCUCGCCGCCUGGUCCGAUAACAGCACCCGAAGCAUCCGUUGGAAGUGGAUUUCCAUCUGGUCUACGAACUGGAUAGACUGUCUUUCCAGAUUCGUCUGUUGGCAGGGCUUGUCCAUCCGGCCCCAAAACAGGAUAGAUAAAGUUUCCAGUCGCAUCAGUAGG